CAGCAAAUGACCUUGAGCAAAUCACUUAGACUCUGAACUCUUAGUUUCCUUGCUGGUAAUUUGAGAAGAAUAAUACCUCUCAGGUUUGUCAUGAGACUUACAUGAAAUGAAGUACGUGAAAGCAUUUUAUAAUCCUCAAAAAGCAUGCAUACAAACAUAAGGGUUUUUAUUCUUGGUUUUUAUCCAACUUCUUUUGGAAUUUAGGCUGUGGCAGAAAAAGUGGAGUGGUGUUCAGUGGUCCUCAGGAACUUCAUAUUGCCCAGCUGGUUACCUAAGCAAAGGGGAAUAUCUGCUCCUCUUACUGCUCAUUAGCUCAAUCUGUCGCUCUGGUCCAUCACCUUCGAAGGCCACAGACUGAUGUUGAAUAAGUUGGCACACAGAGGAAAGGAUGUUAGAGCAUGUCCUCAGUUCCAACUGGCUGUGGUGAUCUUGAAUCAAAAAGUGACAAAUAGGACUCUAGAAAUUACUUUGAGAUCACUUAUUCUCUCUUUCUCAUUUUACAGAGGACUAGAGGGGAAUACAUUUGUGUGAUGUCACUUGCCAAAAUCCUGGCAGAGAGCGCCAGCCCUGGAGGACCUCGCUCCUUCCCGACUGCUCCUCUCUUCCUUGAACCCUGAG
rnacentral:lncRNA from 1 species